AAUGAACGCUGGCGGCAUGCUUUACACAUGCAAGUCGAACGGAAACGCCCUGCUGUUUUCAGGUGCUCUGGUGGCUAACGGAUGGGUAACACGUGCAUAGCCUGGUCUUGACUUUGGGGUGACAUCAUGGAGCUAGUUCUAAUACUAGCGCAUAGCCCCUGCGGCGUGGUGGGGGGUGGCAUGUUGCGUCGGUUUGGGAUGGACGCGCGGCUUAUCAGCGUGUUGGUGGGGGAGUGGCUUACCAAGGGUUUGACGGGUAGCCGGCCUGAGAGGGUGACCGGCCACAUUGGGCCUGAGAUACGGACCAGACUCCUACGGGGGGCAGCAGUGGGGAAUAUUGCACAAUGGGCGGAAGCCUGAUGCAGCAACGCCGCGUGCGGGAUGACGGCCUUCGGGUUGUAAACCGCCUUCGCCUGUGACGAAGCGUGAGUGACGGUAAUGGGUAAAGAAGCACCGGCUAACUACGUG
rnacentral:rRNA from 1 species